UACGAAGGGGGCUAGCGUUGCUCGGAAUUACUGGGCGUAAAGGGCGUGUAGGCGGUCCGCUAAGACAGGUGUGAAAUUCCUGGGCUCAACCCAGGACGUGCGCCUGUGACUGACGGACUUGAGUCCGGGAGAGGAUGGUGGAACUCCCAGUGUAGAGGUGAAAUUCGUAGAUAUUGGGAAGAACACCCGUGGCGAAGGCGACUUCCUGGCCUGUUCUUGACGCUGAGGCGCGAAAGCUAGGGUAGCAAACGGG
rnacentral:rRNA from 1 species